UAGGUUUGUCCAGUUCACGAC
rnacentral:piRNA from 1 species